rnacentral:rRNA from 1 species
UACGAAGGGUGCAAACGUUGCUCGGAAUUAUUGGGCGUAAAGCGCACGUAGGCGGCUUUGCAAGUCGGAUGUGAAAUCCCUCGGCUUAACCAAGGAAGUGCAUCCGAAACUGCAGAGCUUGAAUACUUAAGAGGAUCGCGGAAUUCCCGGUGUAGAGGUGAAAUUCGCAGAUAUCGAGGAGGAACACCGGUGGCGGAAGGCGGAUCUGCUGGGCCAUACUGACGGCUGAGGAAGCGAAAGGCGUGGGGAGC